rnacentral:rRNA from 1 species
AGGACGAACGCUGGCGGCGUGCUUAACACAUGCAAGUCGAGCGGAAAGGCCCUUCGGGGUACUCGAGCGGCGAACGGGUGAGUAACACGUGAGCAACCUGCCCCUGGCUCUGGGAUAGCCUCCGGAAACGGGGAUUAAUACCGGACAUUCUCCUUCUUCCGCAUGGUUGAGGGUGGAAAGUUUUUUUCGGCCGGGGAGGGGCUCGCGGCCUAUCAGCUUGUUGGCGGGGUAACGGCCCACCAAGGCGACGACGGGUAGCC